ACAAUAAAAUUCCGGAAUGAUAAGAUAGUUUUGUAAAUCCUAAAGGAUUGGGAAAUGAUGGUGUAAUUCCAUCGCGGUACCGCCACUGUAAAAGCCAGAAAACCAAUCGUUAGGAAAUUCCCGUAA
rnacentral:ncRNA from 31 species